AGUUGGGGCCAGAUCCUCAAACCCAGGCAGGUGGAGAAGAGGCUAGUGCGGAAGAGCGCCCUGACAUGGCUGGAGCCAGGUGUGGGCUGUCCUCCCUCCCAGAGCAGGUGCGAGCUUGAGAACUGGAAAAAACCAAACUCUGCGAACCUACGAACCCUCGAACCCUCGCAACAAAGGAGUGUCCAGGCUGAAGCCAGGAACCUAGAACUCCAUCAGAUACAGGCGGCAGGGGCCCAUGUACUUGACCAUCAUCUGCUACUUCUCAGGGCACAGCAGCAGAGAGCUGGAUUGGAAGUGGAGCAGCUGGACUCAAACAGGAGCUCCCACAUGGGAUGCCAGCGUCAUAAGUGGCGGCUAAACCUGCUUCGCCGUAGCACCAGCCCCUCUGUAAGUGGGGUAUUGAAGUCUCUAAAUAUUACUG